AUUGAACGCUGGCGGCAUGCCUUACACAUGCAAGUCGAACGGCAGCACGGGUGCUUGCACCUGGUGGCGAGUGGCGAACGGGUGAGUAAUACAUCGGAACAUGUCCUGUAGUGGGGGAUAGCCCGGCGAAAGCCGGAUUAAUACCGCAUACGAUCUACGGAUGAAAGCGGGGGACCUUCGGGCCUCGCGCUAUAGGGUUGGCCGAUAGCUGAUUAGCUAGUUGGUGGGGUAAAGGCCUACCAAGGCGUCGAUCAGUAGCUGGUCUGAGAGGACGACCAGCCACACUGGGACUGAGACACGGCCCAGACUCCUACGGGAGGCAGCAGUGGGGAAUUUUGGACAAUGGGCGAAAGCCUGAUCCAGCAAUGCCGCGUGUGUGAAGAAGGCCUUCGGGUUGUAAAGCACUUUUGUCCGGAAAGAAAUCCUUGGCUCUAAUACAGUCGGGGGAUGACGGUACCGGAAGAAUAAGCACCGGCUAACUACGUG
rnacentral:rRNA from 1 species